rnacentral:tRNA from 1 species
GCCGGCGUAGCUCAAUCGGUAGAGCAUCCGCCUUGUAAGCGGAGGGUUGGGGGUUCGAGUCCCUCCGCCGGCACCA